rnacentral:rRNA from 1 species
UACGAAGGGGGCUAGCGUUGCUCGGAAUCACUGGGCGUAAAGCGCACGUAGGCGGACUCUUAAGUCAGGGGGGAAAUCCUGGAGCUCAACUCCAGAACUGCCCUUGAAACUGCAGUGCUAGAAUCUUGGAGAGGCGAGUGGAAUUCCGAGUGUAGAGGUGAAAUUCGUAGAUAUUCGGAAGAACACCAGUGGCGAAGGCGACUCGCUGGACAAGUAUUGACGCUGAGGUGCGAAAGCGUGGGGAGCAAACAGG